UACAGAGGGUGCAAGCGUUACUCGGAAUUACUGGGCGUAAAGCGUGCGUAGGUGGUUUGUUAAGUCUGUUGUGAAAGCCCCGGGCUCAACCUGGGAAUGGCAAUGGAUACUGGCAGGCUAGAGUGCGGUAGAGGUAGUGGAAUUCCCGGUGUAGCGGUGAAAUGCGUAGAGAUCGGGAGGAACACCAGUGGCGAAGGCGGCUACCUGGACCAGCACUGACACUGAGGCACGGAAAGCGUGGGAGCAAACAGG
rnacentral:rRNA from 1 species